AAAAGUGAAAGACGGUCUUGCUGUCACUUAUAGAUGGAUCCGCGCUGCAUUAGCUAGUUGGUAAGGUAACGGCUUACCAAGGCAACGAUGCAUAGCCGACCUGAGAGGGUGAUCGGCCACACUGGAACUGAGACACGGUCCAGACUCCUACGGGAGGCAGCAGUAGGGAAUCUUCCGCAAUGGGCGAAAGCCUGACGGAGCAACGCCGCGUGAGUGAUGAAGGUCUUCGGAUCGUAAA
rnacentral:rRNA from 1 species